CGUGUAGGCGGAUACGCAAGCCGGAGGUGAAAUCCCUGGGCUCAACCCGGGACGUGCUUUCGGAACUACGUGUCUUGAGACAGGCAGGGGCAGGUGGAAUUCCAGGUGUAGAGGUGAAAUUCGUAGAGAUCUGGAGGAACACCGGCGGCGAAGGCGGCCUGCUGGGCCUUGUCUGACGCUGAGGCGCGAAAGCGUGGGGAGCAAACAGGAUUAGAUACCCUGGUAGUCCACGCUGUAAACGAUGAGCACUCGAUGUGCGAGGUAUCCACUCCUCGCGUGUCACAGCUAAACGCAUUAAGUGCUCCGCCUGGGGACUACGGUCGCAAGACUAAA
rnacentral:rRNA from 1 species